CAAAUACUCCCUCCGUCCGGAAAUACUUGUUGAAGAAAUGCAUAAAAAUGGAUGUAUCUAGAACUAAAAUACAUCUAGAUACAUCCAUUCCUCCGACGAGUAUUUCUGGACGGAGGGAGUAUUUA
rnacentral:pre_miRNA from 1 species